rnacentral:tRNA from 1 species
ACCCUAGUAGCUCAGUUGGUUAGAGUCGCCCUGUAAUUCGUAUGUAUUGAUGUAAUGUUCGCAUUGCUAAAUAUUCGCAUAUGUCAAGGAAGGUCGUCGGUUCGAGUCCGAUCUAGGGAA